GUGUCAGCCGCCGCGGUAACACGUAGGGGGCUAGCGUUGUCCGGAAUCAUUGGGCGUAAAGCGCGCGUAGGCGGCCAGAUAAGUCCGGUGUGAAAGUCAAAGGCUCAACCUUUGAAUGCCGCUGGAAACUGUCUGGCUAGAGUCCGGAAGGGGCGAGUGGAACUCCUGGUGUAGCGGUGAAAUGCGCAGAUAUCAGGAAGAACACCUAUGGCGAAGGCAGCUCGCUGGGACGGUACUGACGCUGAGGCGCGAAAGCGUGGGGAGCAAACAGGAUUAGAUACCCUGGUAGUCCACGCCGUAAACGAUGGGCACUAGGUGUGGGAGGUAUCGACUCCUCCCGUGCCGAAGCUAACGCAUUAAGUGCCCCGCCUGGGGAGUACGGCCGCAAGGCUAAA
rnacentral:rRNA from 1 species